ACCGGCGCACGGGUGCGUAACGCGUAUAGACCUACCUUUUACAGAGGGAUAGCCUUUAGAAAUGAAGAUUAAUACCUUAUGGUUUCGCAUGAAUAAAGAUUUAUCGGUAAAAGAUGGCUAUGCGUCCUAUUAGCUAGAUGGUAAGGUAACGGCUUACCAUGGCGACGAUAGGUAGGGGUCCUGAGAGGGAGAUCCCCCACACUGGUACUGAGACACGGACCAGACUCCUACGGGAGGCAGCAGUGAGGAAUAUUGGGCAAUGGAGGCAACUCUGACCCAGCCAUGCCGCGUGCAGGAAGAAGGCCUAUGGGUUGUAAACUGCUUUUAUACAGGAAGAAACACUCGUACGUGUACGAGCUUGACGGUACUGUAAGAAUAAGCACCGGCUAACUCCGUGCCAGCAGCCGCGGUAAUACGGAGGGUGCAAGCGUUAUCCGGAAUCAUUGGGUUUAAAGGGUCCGCAGGCGGUCAAUUAAGUCAGAGGUGAAAUCCCAUAGCUCAACUAUGGAACUGCCUUUGAUACUGGUUGACUUGAGUCAUAUGGAAGUAGAUAGAAUGUGUAGUGUAGCGGUGAAAUGCAUAGAUAUUACACAGAAUACCGAUUGCGAAGGCAGUCUACUACGUAUGUACUGACGCUGAGGGACGACGCUGGGAGCGACAGUAUAGAAUACCCUGGUAGUUCAAG
rnacentral:rRNA from 1 species